rnacentral:tRNA from 1 species
GGCAUUGUGGCUCAGUGGUAGUGUGCUCGCUUAGGAAGCGUGAGGCCCUGGGUUCGAUCCUCAGCACCA